ACACACAAAGACCUUGAACAAAAAAAAAUUAUCUCUGGAUUUGCGAGUUUCACUUCCACAAGGCAGCCAAUGGGUGUCCAGAAAUGGCCCAUGGUUCCAGCCCCAGCUAGAAUGGAAGGGUGGUCAUAUCUGUGGUACACGAAGCAUCAUGUCAGUACUAUUAUGGACAUUGUGUAUAAUGCAGGAUCAUCUUACGAUCUCUACCGGAGAUCAACCGGACUGGACCGAGGAACUUGUGGCAUGGACUAAAGAGAGAUAUUUUACAAAAAAAUUAUUUCAUGGAACCUAAUUCAUAAUGACUAAGGCAUAACCACAGUAACAGGGAUUUCAAGCUGUUGACCAUGGUAUGAUAGAGCUAGUGCAUGGUUACCUGCAGAUGCUGCUAUCACACCUUUCUCUUUUUGUUUCUAAGAUAGAGAAUGGUUUGGAAUUUGGAUGGGACACUUAUAUAGAGGUGUUGUCUAUGGGAGGGGUGUUUGUAUUAGAGAGUGCCUGAUUCAGGAAGUGUGUGAAUUAGAGAGGCCUGGAUUAGGGAGUGCCUGAAUUAGAGAGGCCUGAAUUAGAGUGAGUGUGAAUUAGAGAACACCAGAAUUAAAGAGUGCCUGUAUAGGGGAGUGCCCAUUUUAGGGGGCAUCUGCAUAAGAGAGUCCCUUUAUUAUAACAUAUAUUAUUAAGUGCGUGGAUUAUCAGGUGACUUAUUAGAUGACCUUUCCUGUUUUUUACUGUUGUCUUCAGGACUGUAGGUAGACCGCUUAAUUUGGGGGGGGGGGUGUAUAUCCAUAUAUUCAUGUUUAUAUACCGUAGGAACAAUGGUGUACAAAAGAAAUCAGUCAGGUAUAACUACGAAUAUGCACCCAGAAAUUAAGCUUCUAACUACGAGCGGCCAGGUUGUCUUAAAGAGGUUUUUGUAUUUGAAGAGUUAUUGGUAUUAGCACAUAAAUUAGAGAGAUGCGUCACACAAGUAGUAACAA